CGGACGGGUGAGUAACACGUGGAUAACCUACCUAUAAGACUGGGAUAACUUCGGGAAACCGGAGCUAAUACCGGAUAAUAUUUUGAACCGCAUGGUUCAAAAGUGAAAGACGGUCUUGCUGUCACUUAUAGAUGGAUCCGCGCUGCAUUAGCCAGUUGGUAAGGUAACGGCUUACCAAGGCAACGAUGCAUAGCCGACCUGAGAGGGUGAUGGCCACACUGGAACUGAGACACGGUCCAG
rnacentral:rRNA from 1 species